rnacentral:rRNA from 1 species
AGCGUUGUCCGGAUUUAUUGGGCGUAAAGAGCGUGUAGGCGGCCAAGCAGGUCCGCUGUGAAAACUCGAGGCUCAACCUCGAGACGUCGGUGGAAACCGUUUGGCUAGAGUCCGGAAGAGGAGAGUGGAAUUCCCGGUGUAGCGGUGAAAUGCGCAGAUAUCGGGAAGAACACCCGUGGCGAAGGCGGCUCUCUGGGACGGUACUGACGCUGAGACGCGAAAGCGUGGGGAGCGAACAGG